rnacentral:rRNA from 1 species
CCUACGGGCGGCAGCAGUGGGGAAUAUUGGACCAUGGGGGGAACCCUGAUCCAGCCAUGCCGCGUGUGUGAAGAAGGCCUUCGGGUUGUAAAGCACUUUCAGCGGGGAGGAAGGCGGUGAGGUUAAUAACCUCACCGAUUGACGUUACCCGCAGAAGAAGCACCGGCUAACUCCGUGCCAGCAGCCGCGGUAAUACGGAGGGUGCAAGCGUUAAUCGGAAUUACUGGGCGUAAAGCGCACGCAGGCGGUCUGUCAAGUCGGAUGUGAAAUCCCCGGGCUCAACCUGGGAACUGCAUUCGAAACUGGCAGGCUAGAGUCUUGUAGAGGGGGGUAGAAUUCCAGGUGUAGCGGUGAAAUGCGUAGAGAUCUGGAGGAAUACCGGUGGCGAAGGCGGCCCCCUGGACAAAGACUGACGCUCAGGUGCGAAAGCGUGGGGAGCAAACAGGAUUAGAUACCCGUGUAGUC